CUGCCUUAAACUAAUGAGUAAGGAAAACAAAGCGAGCGGUGGGAGCCGCUCGCCGCGCUUCUAAGUAAUCAUGCGCAAUAAUUUGUGGAGGGGUAAUAGGCUGGCCGAGCGCUGACGCUGCUUACUUUGCAGAACUCGCUCGUGCGGGCCUCCC
rnacentral:snRNA from 1 species